UGAGGAAUAUUGGUCAAUGGGCGAGAGCCUGAACCAGCCAAGUCGCGUGAGGGAAGACGGUCCUACGGAUUGUAAACCUCUUUUGUCGGGGAGCAAUAAAGCGUACGCGUACGCAGAUGCGAGUACCCGAAGAAAAGCGUCGGCUAACUCCGUGCCAGCAGCCGCGGUAAUACGGAGGAUGCGAGCGUUAUCCGGAUUUAUUGGGUUUAAAGGGUGCGCAGGCGGAAAGUGCAAGUCAGCGGUCAAACGACGGGGCUCAACCCCGUCUCGCCGUUGAAACUGUCUUUCUAGAGUGAGCGAGAAGUAUGCGGAAUGCGUGGUGUAGCGGUGAAAUGCAUAGAUAUCACGCAGAACUCCGAUUGCGAAGGCAGCAUACCGGCGCUCAACUGACGCUCAUGCACGAAAGCGUGGGUAUCGAACAGGAUUAGAUACC
rnacentral:rRNA from 1 species